CAGUCGAGGGGCAGCACGGUGUAGCAAUACAUUGGUGGCGACCGGCGCACGGGUGAGUAACGCGUAUGCAACCUACCUAUCAGAGGGGAAUAACCCGGCGAAAGUCGGACUAAUACCGCAUAAAACAGGGGUUCCACAUGGAAAUAUUUGUUAAAGAAUUAUCGCUGAUAGAUGGGCAUGCGUUCCAUUAGAUAGUUGGUGAGGUAACGGCUCACCAAGUCCACGAUGGAUAGGGGUUCUGAGAGGAAGGUCCCCCACACUGGUACUGAGACACGGACCAGACUCCUACGGGAGGCAGCAGUGAGGAAUAUUGGUCAACGGGCGAGAGCCUGAACCAGCCAAGUCGCGUGAAGGAUGAAGGAUCUAUGGUUUGUAAACUUCUUUUAUAUGGGAAUAAAGUGAGGAACGUGUUCCUUUUUGUAUGUACCAUAUGAAUAAGCAUCGGCUAACUCCGUGCCAGCAGCCGCGGUAAUACGGAGGAUGCGAGCGUUAUCCGGAUUUAUUGGGUUUAAAGGGUGCGUAGGUGGUUAAUUAAGUCAGCGGUGAAAGUUUGUGGCUCAACCAUAAAAUUGCCGUUGAAACUGGUUGACUUGAGUAUAUUUGAGGUAGGCGGAAUGCGUGGUGUAGCGGUGAAAUGCAUAGAUAUCACGCAGAACUCCGAUUGCGAAGGCAGCUUACUAAACUAUAACUGACACUGAAGCACGAAAGCGUGGGGAUCAAACAGGAUUAGAUACCCUGGUAGUCCACGCAGUAAACGAUGAUUACUAGCUGUUUGCGAUACACAGUAAGCGGCACAGCGAAAGCGUUAAG
rnacentral:rRNA from 1 species